rnacentral:rRNA from 1 species
GUCAAGCGAGUAUAGCAGCCGGUACCGCAAACCGACACAGGUAGACGGGAUGAGUAUUCUAAGUCGCUCGGGUGAGCCGUGGAGAAGGAACUAGGCAAAUUGACGCUGUAACUUCGGGAUAAAGCGUACCAUCUUCGGAUGGUCUCAGUAAAAUGGUUCAACCAACUGUUUAACAAAAACACAGGGCCCUGCAAAAUCGAAAGAUGACGUAUAGAGCCUGAUACCUGCCCGGUGCUGGAAGGUUAAGGAAGGGUGUUCGACGCAAGUCAAAGCUCCUGACUGAAGCCCCAGUAAACGGCGGCCGUAACAAUAACGGUCCUAAGGUAGCGAAAUUCCUUGUCGGGUAAGUUCCGACCUGCACGAAUGGUCUAAUGAGUUGAACGCUGUCUCCUCCACGAGCCCGUUGAAAUUGUAGUAUCGGUGAAGAUGCCGGUUACCCGCCACGGGACGGAAAGACCCCGUGAACCUUCACUACAACUUUGCAUUGAUUUUGAAUUACGGAUGUGUAGAAUAGUUGGGACGCUUUGAAGCCUUGCCGCCAGGUAGGGUGGAGCGGUCGUUGAAAUACCAACCUUCUUUGAUUUAGAGUCUAAUCCCUUGCGGGAAACAGUGCAUGGUGGGUAGUUUGACUGGGGUGGUCGCCUCCUAAAGAGUAACGGAGGCUUGCAAAGGUACCCUCAGUACGGUUGUAAUCGUACGUAGAGCGCAUUAGUAUAAGGGUGCUUGACUGUGAGGCACACAAGCCGAGCAGGGACGAAAGUCGGCUAAAGUGAUCCGGCGGUUCUGUAUGGAAGGGCCGUCGCUCAAAGGAUAAAAGGUACUCCGGAUAACAGGCUGAUCUCCCCCAAGAGCUCAUAUCGACGGGGAGGUUUGGCACCUCGAUGUCGGUUCGUCACAUCCUGGGGCUGGAGAAGGUCCCAAGGGUUCGGCUGUUCGCCGAUUAAAGUGGCACGUGAACUGGGUUCAGAACGUCGCAAGACAGUUCGGUCCCUAUCUGUGGUGGGCGCAAGUAAAUUGAGAGGACAUGACCUUAGUACGAGAGGACCGGGUCGUACGUACCGCUGGUGUAUCAGUUGUGCCGCCAGGUGCAAUGCUGAGUAGCUAUGUACGGACAGGAUAAACGCUGAAAGCAUCUAAGCGUGAAACCUUCCUUAAGAUGAGUUUACUUUCAAGGGCCGUCAGAGACUAUGACGUUGAUAGGCUAUAGGUGUAAAACUGGUAACAGUAAAGCCGAGUAGUACUAAUUGCCCGUACGCUUUAACUA